UACGGAGGGUGCAAACGUUGCUCGGAAUCAUUGGGCGUAAAGCGCACGUAGGUGGUCCAGCAAGUCGGGUGUGAAAGCCCUCGGCUUAACCGAGGAAGUGCAUUUGAAACUACUGGACUUGAGUACUGAAGAGGGUCGCGGAAUUCCCGGUGUAGAGGUGAAAUUCGUAGAUAUCGGGAGGAACACCAGUGGCGAAGGCGGCGACCUGGGCAGAUACUGACACUGAGGUGCGAAAGCGUGGGGAGCAAACAGG
rnacentral:rRNA from 1 species